UACAGAGGUCCCGAGCGUUGUUCGGAUUCACUGGGCGUAAAGGGUGCGUAGGUGGCGAUGAAAGUUCGAUGUGAAAUCUCCGGGCUUAACCCGGAAAAGGCAUUGAAAACUAUGUUGCUUGAGGUUUGGAGGGGGGACUGGAAUUCUUGGUGUAGCAGUGAAAUGCGUAGAUAUCAAGAGGAACACCAGUGGCGAAGGCGGGUCCCUGGACAACACCUGACACUGAGGCGCGAAAGCUAGGGGAGCAAACAGG
rnacentral:rRNA from 1 species